rnacentral:lncRNA from 1 species
AGUAGAGAUAUGGUUUCACCAUGUUGACCAGACUGGUGUCAAACUGCUGACCUCAAGUGAGCUGGCCACCUCAGCCUCCCACAGUGCUGGGAUUACAGGCAUAAGUCACUGCAUCCAGCCAAAUGUUUGCUGAAUUCUUACAGCCCCAGCAAUGUCCAAGGCUCUGGAGACACCGUGGUGGACAGGACACCAUCCCUGUCCUUAAGAAAGUUCCAGCUGCCACCUGGAGGAAGAAGUGACUGAGACCAGAACUGUGCCCACCAGCUGCCACACUUACCUGGCAAGGGCUCAGAGUCAAGAUACCCAACCCAGCUCAGCACUUCUCCCUGGACCUCUUCCAACUGCAUGAAGCCCUGGGUCCCUGGGUUGUUCACAGUUCGUUGUCUCCCGGUGUAGAAAAGUCUGUCAACCCUGCUUGGACAUCGCAAUCACCUGGGUAACUUUUUUUUUUUU